GUGAGGAAUAUUGGUCAAUGGGCGAGAGCCUGAACCAGCCAAGUAGCGUGAAGGAUGAAGGCUCUAUGGGUCGUAAACUUCUUUUAUAUGGGAAUAAAGUUUUCCACGUGUGGAAUUUUGUAUGUACCAUAUGAAUAAGGAUCGGCUAACUCCGUGCCAGCAGCCGCGGUAAUACGGAGGAUCCGAGCGUUAUCCGGAUUUAUUGGGUUUAAAGGGAGCGUAGGUGGAUUGUUAAGUCAGUUGUGAAAGUUUGCGGCUCAACCGUAAAAUUGCAGUUGAAACUGGGAGUCUUGAGUACAGUAGAGGUGGGCGGAAUUCGUGGUGUAGCGGUGAAAUGCUUAGAUAUCACGAAGAACUCCGAUUGCGAAGGCAGCUCACUAGACUGUUACUGACACUGAUGCUCGAAAGUGUGGGUAUCAAACAGGAUUAGAUACCCCGGUAGUCC
rnacentral:rRNA from 1 species